GAAAAAAUCUACGUCAGUAUACCUGUUAAAAACAUGGAGUGACUUUCUCCAGCCGAAACGUGUGUUAUAAACAGAUCGCUCAGCAAUGAAACUUCGGUCCAUUUUUCGGUCGAACUAACAUCAUCAAGUCCUGAUUGACCAUGACAAAACGAUUUGUGCAAUGAACCAAUGAACGUUCUGACUUCUGAGUGAUGAAAAGUUACCUGUCAACGCGAUGGUAUGAUGACUUCCACAAGCCACGGAGAUUAUUUUAGCUGGAAUUGAUGUUUUGGUAGGAAUCCAUUGCUCUUUUUGAUCGUGAUCGUUGAUACCGAGUUUCCCAUUUUCGCAAUUACCACACAGAAGCAAGUCACCUGAAUCUUUCACUUGGACUAUCGUUUCUGGAAUGUUGAGUUGUGUUGGAUCUGCAUAUAUGCUGACAUCGGAUUGAACUAAUCCAAGUUGGCCAUCGCUGUUGCUUCCCCAAACACUAAACCAACCUGUUAGUAAAGCUGAGUGUUGAGAUCCUGCUGAUACUUGUAUUAUCUCGUCUUCUAAUUCUGUAACGAACAUCGGUAACGCAACGUAAUCAAGCAUUUCACUAUCGCCAAUGCCCAAUUGCCCAUCGGUAUUGCAACCACAACUGUACACUUUGCCAUUUUCUACGAUCAAAGCAAAUUACUGUCCCCAUUCGUUACUGCCAAAACUGAAAACUCUGCCAUUUUCUACGCGUGAAAAAAGAAGGAGAAAUAUUAUUCAAUUGAUUUGUUUCGAUGUACUCGUACCUACCUACCUACUGUAGAAAUGAAAACAUAUAAUACAAAUGAAAUGAAAAUGAAAAGUGUGGAACGCAUCGCGUGUGAAAAUCGAUGCAUCGUCUGUGUCCAACAACAUUCCUCAAAGUAUUAAUAAGUUGAAAUAUUUACUGCAAACAACGGCCGUAUGUUGAUCGCCGCAGGAAAUCUCUAUUAUUGGAUCAUUCUUGAUGAAAAAAUGGCUCGGGAUGUUAUCUGCGAACCUGCUUUGGCCGAAUGUGAAUACUGCACCGGUUUCUGUUGGAAAUGAACAAAGUUUGAUUGCUGAUUGUUCUAUUAAUGGAAUUCAAGUAUUUCGAAUGAAUUUGGAAUUGUCGUUAAUCAAAUGCAGACAGAAAAAUCUCGACAUGUACAGCUGUGAGAUGAUAAUCUUGGUGAAGACGCUGACUAUUUUUACUGACGCAAAUCCGGAGUCUUUUGUAAGAUUUUAUGAAUUGAAAUUUUUCUUCACCAUUUUGGAGUUUUUUCUCGAAAGUUUGAGAAUGGAUUUAAGUUGCUAAAGAUUUGACUUAUUUUUGUCCUUCUUUCUAGAGUUUUAAAUAUUUUUGCUUUUUUCGUUUAGAAUUCUGUUUAUUGGUCAAGUUCGGAUUGAGUAUGUUUAAAGUAGGUAGGUGGAAAUCAAAUCCUUAUUCGUCCUAAUUACCUAUUUUCUACUUCUUUGGAGGGUUUGAAAAUUAUGGACGUACUAGAAAUUUUCCUGGAAACUCGAUGAAAUGAAAAAGGUGAAAUUUAGUUCUAUGCGAUGGAUUUUGUAUAGGAAACAAUUUUUUUCGUCAAGUAGAGAGAUGGCUUGUCAAAAUUCCAUAAUUUUUAUAAUUAAUUUCAAAACCAGACUUAGAAAAUCAGAAUUUAUUUGAGCAGGUAGAAUUCACUAGAAAAAUGUAAUUUUCAAAAAUCAAAGUUUUAAAAGCUCUAGUCAAUUUUCGUGCUUUUGAAAGAAAUUUGAAAAUUGUGGGAAAAAAUUAAAAUUUUUCUGGAGACUCCGAAUCGACCAUAGGAAUGAUGAGAAUUUGUUUUGGAAAGUAUGGAUGUUUGGUAGAAAAUUAAUAUUUUUGAAUUUUGCUGGAAAAUAAGAUUUUUUAAAUCUUCAAAAAUUUUUCAAAAUGUGUCAUUUCCAAAAAUGAACAUUUUUUGAACGUUCAUUGUUUUGAACGCUCUCAGGGACGAUGAAAGAAAUUGCCAUUGAUGAUCUUAUUGGAUUAAAACAUGAAUAUUGAAGCUACCUAUUUGACUUAUGUAUUUUUAGUUUUCUCAAAAAAUAUGCUUCAAAAAUAAAAACGUUCUCUUUGAAACUGAAAGAAUUACUAUUUAUGGAAGUUCCUCGUCUCUUUUUCUUGUCAACAACUGAACAGAAUUGCUUGCUAUGCAUUUUCGCCAUCAUUACUCAAUUCAAAAGUUUGGUAAUCCUUUGUUUUGAAUUAAUUUUUUUAUAAAAAAAAGUAUAAAACGAGAUUCGAAGCUUUUUAUGUAAUUUUUUCAAAUCAAAAAUUUUGUCAAUUAGAGAGAUAGCCUACCUACUCAGUUCCAAGCCUAUUUGCAUGAAAUAAAUUCAAUUUUUUCGAGUACACAUAAACAUGACAUAACUUAUGUCUUUUUAAAAGCAUCAGGCCAAUAUUUCAUGUUUGAAAAGUGUAGGUACCUUGUAACACGAAUAUAGAAAUAUGAUCACGAUACCGUGCAUAAAUUUCGUAAAUAUGAUAUUUCGAUGUUAUGUCUAAAAAAUUGUUUCGUCUCUAUCACACUAUAAAAAAUCGAUCCAAAAGAACGCUUUGUAUCCGGUACUUUGGCAAAUUACUCUUGUUAAGAUGAUUUAAAAUAGUUUUCAAAAUUAUCAUUUCAGAUUUUCUACACAAACUACAAAUUGAUGAAACAAAACCUACAUAGGUGCAAAAUAUGACUAUAAAAAACUAGAUAAAUUAAUAUUAAAAAACUUACCAGGAAUAUCAACGUCAUUCAUGAUACCUAAACAGACAACGUUUAUAAACAUCUAUACCUAGGAAUUGUAUUUGGACGAAUUUUAGGAUAUACAAUAACGCACUUUUAUCACUAUAGUGAUACACCACAGCCCCUCCCUCGUUCAUUCAUUUAGACACCCUUUACAAGUAGAAUUUUACGUGUGGCACACCUGCUGCUGCUGUUGUUGUUGUUUCUACCCUCGAAUAAUGUACAGAGUAGGUACAGGUAGGCUACGUGUACGUGGCGUUUUUGGCGUUACAAGUUAACACGAGUGAGUGACCGUUACAUGUUUUAAGGCUCUUCUUUAUUAUGUAUUUCGGUAGUCUACUGCGAAUUUUUUCAUUUAUACCUACCAUUUGGCUGAUAAGUAUCGAUUUACUCCUAUGUCGAUGUGAAAUCAAUAAUAUUUUUAUAACAAUGUAAAAUUUUUUAUAUUUUCAACAAUAUGUAGAUAAAUAUUUUACAUCACAAAUGGUUAUUAAAAAUUUCUCGACGUAUAUAUUUACAAAUCAUACACGUACAAUUUGGUAAUAGGAAAUCUUCCAAUCAUUGGUUACCAUAAGUAAAAUAUUAUACGAAAUCUAGAAAAUACAAUAUUACUUAAUUCCAUAGGCGUAUUUGAAAUUUGCGUUUUUUAAAUUUCUACAUAGAUAGGUAAUACGUACUCUUCUUGGUUUCGCGAUUAAUUAACAAGUAGGUAAUUAAAAACAUCUUACGAAUAUAAUUCGUUAAAUUUAAUAAGUUAUUACAAAAUAGUACUCGCUGCUCCGACUAAAAUCAAAAAUAAACAUGACUAGAAGUUACACUCAACCGAAACAUAUGUUAACGAAAUGUAAUCAUGGAACAUAGUAUGGGGGUAGAAGGGGAAAUUCUAUGAUCAUCGCAAAUGUACCAUAAUAUGUAUUAUGCAGUAUAAAAAUUACUCAGCUGGGUAAAAUUACUCGAUAAAUUUCACUCCAAGGGGUGGGUUCCCCUUUCAAAUAAAAUAUAAGCACAUUGAAAUAAUUUACUAUAUGGUAAUAGAUGAUCGA